ACGUAGGAGACGAACGUUAUCCGGAGUUACUGGGCGUAAAGGGCGUGUAGGCGGUUUGUUAAGUCUGGCGUGAAAGCUCUCGGCUAAACCGGGAGAGGUCGUUGGAUACUGGCGAACUCGAGGAUGGUAGAGGCGUGUGGAAUUCCGGGUGUAGUGGUGAAAUGCGUAGAGAUCCGGAGGAACACCAGUGGCGAAGGCGACACGCUGGGCCAUACCUGACGCUAAAGCGCGACAGCAUGGGGAGCAAACGGG
rnacentral:rRNA from 1 species